GACAGAGGGGGCAAGCGUUGCUCGGAAUUAUUGGGCGUAAAGAGCUCGUAGGCGGUUUGUCGCGUCGGCCGUGAAAACUUGGGGCUUAACUCCAAGCUUGCGGUCGAUACGGGCAGACUUGAGUUCGGCAGGGGAGACUGGAAUUCCUGGUGUAGCGGUGAAAUGCGCAGAUAUCAGGAGGAACACCGGUGGCGAAGGCGGGUCUCUGGGCCGAUACUGACGCUGAGGAGCGAAAGCGUGGGGAGCGAACAGG
rnacentral:rRNA from 1 species